AUCAGUGGCGAACGGGUGAGUAACACGUGAGCAACCUGCCCCCUACUUCGGGAUAAGCCUUGGAAACGAGGUCUAAUACCGGAUAUGAGCACUCAUCGCAUGGUGGGUGUUGGAAAGUUUUUCGGUGGGGGAUGGGCUCGCGGCCUAUCAGCUUGUUGGUGGGGUAAUGGCCUACCAAGGCGUCGACGGGUAGCCGGCCUGAGAGGGCGACCGGCCACACUGGGACUGAGACACGGCCCAGACUCCUACGGGAGGCAGCAGUGGGGAAUAUUGCACAAUGGGCGAAAGCCUGAUGCAGCGACGCCACGUGAGGGAUGACGGCCUUCGGGUUGUAAACCUCUUUCAGCAGGGAAGAAGCGAAAGUGACGGUACCUGCAGAAGAAGCGCCGGCUAACUACGUGCCAGCAGCCGCGGUAAUACGUAGGGCGCAAGCGUUGUCCGGAAUUAUUGGGCGUAAAGAGCUCGUAGGCGGUCUGUCGCGUCUGGUGUGAAAUCCCAUGGCUCAACUGUGGGCUUGCAUCGGGUACGGGCAGACUAGAGUGCUGUAGGGGAGACUGGAAUUCCUGGUGUAGCGGUGGAAUGCGCAGAUAUCAGGAGGAACACCGAUGGCGAAGGCAGGUCUCUGGGCAGUUACUGACGCU
rnacentral:rRNA from 1 species